rnacentral:rRNA from 1 species
CUUCUUGAGAAUUGAAUUGGAGGUUGGGUCUGCCCACUGAGGAAUUAUUUAAAGGGCCGCGGUAUAUUGACCGUGCAAAGGUAGCAUAAUCAUUAGUUUUUUAAUUGGGAACUGGAAUGAAUGGUUUGACGAAAUAAUUAGUGUCUCUAAUUAAUUAAUUGAAUUUUACUUUUGAGUUAAAAGGCUUAAAUGUUAUUAAGGGACGAUAAGACCCUAUAGAUCUUUAUAAUAGUUUAAAUAUUGUUGUUUUGGUUGUUAUAAUAUAAAUUUUAUUGGUUCUAUUAUUUUGUUGGGGUGAUAUAAGAAUAGAAAAACUUCUUAAUUUUUAACUUUGAUUAUUGAAUUUAAGAUCCUUUAUUUAUGGAAUAAAGAUUAAGAUACCUUAGGGAUAACAGCGUAAUUUUAUUGGAGAGUUCUUAUUGAUAAUAAGGGUUGCGACCUCGAUGUUGGAUUAGGAAUAUAUAUUGAUGUAGAUGUUAAUAUUAUUGGUCUGUUC